CGUUAUGGCGGCUGUGCGCGGGGAUACCUUCGGGUAUGCCGGGUCCUAACGUCCGGUCUUCCACACCCGCGUACAGUCGCCACCCAU
rnacentral:antisense_RNA from 3 species